UUACCAUUGUUGAUUCACUGAUGCAGUGCUUUAAGUGGCUAACACAGAAGGGGAAAGUAAAUCUCCAUAAGAUCCAGGGAAGGGAUUGCAAAACUCUUCACUAAAUUCUGUCUGGAGUUGCAGUA
ensembl:snoRNA